GAUAAACGCUGGCGGCGCACAUAAGACAUGCAAGUCGAACGGAAGUCGUUAGAGAAUAGAUUGAAGAUUUAUCUGAUUGAAGUUCUUUAACAAUGGCUUUAGUGGCGGACUGGUGAGUAAUGUGUAAGCAACCUGCCUAUUAGAGGGGAAUAACAGUGAGAAAUCAUUGCUAAUACCGCAUAUGCUCACAGUACCACAUGGUAUAGUGAGGAAAGGAGCAAUCCGCUAAUAGAUGGGCUUACAUCUGAUUAGCUAGUUGGUGGGGUAACGGCCUACCAAGGCGACGAUCAGUAGCCGGACUGAGAGGUUGAACGGCCACAUUGGGACUGAGAUACGGCCCAGACUCC
rnacentral:rRNA from 1 species